UAUCUGGUCACAUUGUAUCCACAGUCGGGA
rnacentral:piRNA from 1 species